CAUUGUAAUCGAAUCUUGAACGCAUACUCGUAGGCCUCGGGCCCCAUCCCGGGGCCCGCCCGUCUGAGGGUCGGCU
rnacentral:rRNA from 1 species